rnacentral:rRNA from 1 species
ACCAGACUCCUACGGGAGGCAGCAGUGAGGAAUAUUGGGCAAUGGAGGCAACUCUGACCCAGCCAUGCCGCGUGAGUGAAGAAGGUUUUCGGAUUGUAAAGCUCUUUCGGAUGUGACGAUGAUGACGGUAGCAUCUAAAGAAGCCCCGGCUAACUACGUGCCAGCAGCCGCGGUAAUACGUAGGGGGCGAGCGUUAUCCGGAUUUACUGGGUGUAAAGGGAGCGUAGACGGCCAUGCAAGCUCGGUGUGAAAGGUGCGGGCACAACCCGCAGACUGCACUGAGAACUGUAUGGCUGGAGUGCCGGAGGGGCAGGCGGAAUUCCUGGUGUAGCGGUGAAAUGCGUAGAUAUCAGGAGGAACACCGGUGGCGAAGGCGGCCUGCUGGACGGCGACUGACGUUGAGGCUCGAAAGCGUGGGGAGCGAACAGGAUUAGAUACCCCAGUACAC